GACGGACCGAGCGAACGUUGUUCGGAAUCACUGGGCUUAAAGGGCGCGUAGGCGGGUGCUCAAGUCCGGGGUGAAAUCCUCCAGCUCAACUGGAGAACUGCCUCGGAUACUGGGUGCCUCGAGUGUGGUAGGGGUGUGCGGAACUAUCGGUGGAGCGGUGAAAUGCGUUGAUAUCGAUAGGAACUCCGGUGGCGAAGGCGGCACACUGGACCACAACUGACGCUGAGGCGCGAAAGCCAGGGGAGCAAACGGG
rnacentral:rRNA from 1 species